rnacentral:rRNA from 1 species
UACGUAGGGGGCUAGCGUUGUCCGGAUUUAUUGGGCGUAAAGAGCUCGUAGGCGGUGUGUCGCGUCGGCCGUGAAAACCUGCAGCUUAACUGUGGGCUUGCGGUCGAUACGGGCAUCACUGGAGUUCGGCAGGGGAGACUGGAAUUCCUGGUGUAGCGGUGAAAUGCGCAGAUAUCAGGAGGAACACCGGUGGCGAAGGCGGGUCUCUGGGCCGAUACUGACGCUGAGGAGCGAAAGCGUGGGGAGCAAACAGG